AUAAUAAUUUGUUAUUUAUACCCCGCUCAUCUGGCUUUGUUUCCCCAGCUACUCUGGGCAGCUUCCAACCGAAUAUUAAAAACAAUACAGCAUCAGACAUUAAAAACUUCCCUAAACAGGGCCGCCUUCAGUUGUCUUUUAAAAGUAAAAUAGUUGUUUAUUGCCUUGACAUCUGCUGAGAGGGUCUUCCACAGGGUGGGCGCCACCACCGAGAAGGCCCUCUGUCUGGUUCCCUGUAACCUCACUUCUCGCAGCGAGGGAACUGCCAGAAGGCCCUCUUUGGAGCUGGACCUCAGUGUCCGGGCUGAAUGAUGGGGGUGGAGACGCUCCUUCAGGUAUACAGGAGCCACUCUGUGCGGGGCAAAUGGAGAACGCUAAGGGCUUGUCCACAGUUCCACUUGGCCCAUGCAUGGAAAGCACAGGUCUGAGCAGUUUCCCGUUUGGCCCACCGCUUCCCCCAGGAAAAUUGCUCUUUGCUGCUGAAUUGAGAGCCAUCGUCCAUCCGCGGAAAAUCUAGUUGACGUUUGCUCUGAUUCAGCGGUAAAAAGCGGGUUUCUUGGGGCGGGUGGAAGCAAUGUGGCAAGCAGAAGUUUCGGUGAGCCCUAGCUUUGUCCAAAGUGGCCCAAAGCAAAGAGAAAACAUUCAGAACAUCAAAAAUGAAAAGUAUUGGAUAUAUAUAUCACACACACACACACACACACACAGAGAGAGAGAGAGGGAGAGAGGGAGGGAGAGAAAGAGAAAGAGAGAAAGUCAGUGAAUUCAAAAAUCAGCUAUGUGCUUGAUCUUGGUGGGCAGAGACACCUUAUUACUACAGUGGUACCUCAGGUUACAUACGCUUCAGGUUACAGACUCCGCUAACCCAGAAAUAGUACCUCAGGUUAAGAACUUUGCUUCAGGAUGAGAACAGAAAUUGCAUGGCGGCAGCGGGAGGCCCCAUUAGCUAAAGUGGUGCUUCAGGUUAAGAAUGCACCUCCGGAACGAAUAUGUAACCAGAGUUACCACUGUAUAGGCAAUGGCUUCCUUGUGUCAGUGUGGCUCCGCUAACUAGCAGCACUGUGUAUUUCUGUGUUCAGCGCAGGUGGGAAAUUAAGCAUUGGGCCUUGCUAGGAAAGGGCUUGAGCAUCAAAUGGCAAGAGGCUCCACAGCCAUCCACAAUAGGGUGUUGGCCUGCUUACAAUGUUAUUGUAAAGGUUGCAGCAAUAUGAUGCAAUAUAAUGCUGCAAUAUGAUGCAAUAUAAUGCUGACCUGCUUACAAUGUUAUUGUAAAGGUUGCAGCAAUAUGAUGUAUGCUACGUAAGUCUGAAACACUACUCUGUUUCCCAAAGGUAAAUAAAACCUACUGUUGUGAAAUA